rnacentral:rRNA from 1 species
AUUCCAGACUCCUACGGGAGGCAGCAGUGGGGAAUAUUGCACAAUGGGGGAAACCCUGAUGCAGCGACGCCGCGUGAGCGAAGAAGUAUUUCGGUAUGUAAAGCUCUAUCAGCAGGGAAGAAAAUGACGGUACCUGACUAAGAAGCCCCGGCUAAAUACGUGCCAGCAGCCGCGGUAAUACGUAUGGGGCAAGCGUUAUCCGGAUUUACUGGGUGUAAAGGGAGUGCAGGCGGCUUGGCAAGUCUGAUGUGAAAGGCUGGGGCUCAACCCCAGGACUGCAUUGGAAACUGUGCGGCUAGAGUACUGGAGGGGCAGGCGGAAUUCCUAGUGUAGCGGUGAAAUGCGUAGAUAUUAGGAGGAACACCAGUGGCGAAGGCGGCCUGCUGGACAGUAACUGACGUUGAGGCUCGAAAGCGUGGGGAGCAAACAGGAUUAGAUACCCUCGUAUAC